rnacentral:rRNA from 1 species
UACGUAGGGUGCGAGCGUUAAUCGGAAUUACUGGGCGUAAAGCGUGCGCAGGCGGUUUUGUAAGCCAGAUGUGAAAUCCCCGGGCUUAACCUGGGAAUGGCAUUUGGGACUGCAAGGCUGGAGUACGGCAGAGGAGACUGGAAUUCCUGGUGUAGCAGUGAAAUGCGUAGAUAUCAGGAGGAACACCGAUGGCGAAGGCAGGUCUCUGGGCUGACACUGACGCUCAUGCACGAAAGCGUGGGGAGCAAACAGG